CUCGCGUUCUCGAGCACACAAGCAUUGAUUAGUGAAGAUCUCUCGCGUGCUCGCUGUCAAUCUCGAGCCCUCGCGGUGUGAAAAUCUAACGGCCUUCCUGAAGUCAUGGAGAGACAGACGGCUCGUGAGAUGAAAUUGGCUAAAGACUCAUUCAGUCAAUCUGUAUGUGCCAGAUGAAUUCAUAUGUCAUGCUUGAGAAAGUUUUUGACUCCAAAUGGAAGCUGGCAAAACAGUCAAAGGUCACGCUGCAGUGAAAGACAGCCAUCAGACGACACCUCGAGUACUCAGUCAGGACAACACAAUUUACUUCAGGUCAGACACAAAGAUCCUCUUCAUCUGAAGACAGGAGAGACACGAGUCUUUCAAGUCUACAUCCAUAUAUAUUACACAGUGACACAGAAGGAAAGGUGCAAAGCAAAUACAGUAAAGCAGCAUUUCUAUGAGUCACACAAAUGCUGCUGAUGAUGAAGAUGAUAUCUCAUCAAUGAUAUGAAUGCUGAUCCGAGACUCCAGGAAGAGAAAAUGAUCAGCUUUUUAAAGCAUCUGGUAUUUAAUAAACAUAAGUUCACUUCU